GCCAGGCGCGGUGGUGCGUGCCUGUAGUCCCAGCUACUCGGGAGGCUGAGGUGGGAGGAUCGCUUGAGCCCAGGAGUUCUGGGCUGUAGUGCGCUAUGCCGAUUAGGUGUCUGCACUAAGUUCGGCAUCAACAUGGUGACCUCCCGGGAGCGGGGGACCACCAAGUUGCCUAAGGAGGGGUGAACUGGCCCAGGUUGGAAAUGGAGCAGGUCAAAACUCCUGUGUUGACAGUAGCAGGAUCGCACCUGUGAAUAGCCACUGCACUCCAGUCUGGGCAACAUGAGACCCCGUGUCU
rnacentral:SRP_RNA from 1 species